UUCGUUCAACCCUUAUAACAAGGGUCGGAAGUAGGCACCUGCCGAAGGAACGCUUU
ncrna:unclassified sequences Glutamine riboswitch